rnacentral:rRNA from 1 species
GAUGAACGCUGGCGGCGUGCCUAAUACAUGCAAGUCGAGCGAACAGACGAGGAGCUUGCUCCUCUGACGUUAGCGGCGGGCGGGUGAGUAACACGUGGAUAACCUACCUAUAAGACUGGGAUAACUUCGGGAAACCGGAGCUAAUACCGGAUAAUAUAUUGAACCGCAUGGUUCAAUAGUGAAAGACGGUUUUGCUGUCACUUAUAGAUGGAUCCGCGCCGCAUUAGCUAGUUGGUAAGGUAACGGCUUACCAAGGCAACGAUGCGUAGCCGACCUGAGAGGGUGAUCGGCCACACUGGAACUGAGACACGGUCCAGACUCCUACGGGAGGCAGCAGUAGGGAAUCUUCCGCAAUGGGCGAAAGCCUGACGGAGCAACGCCUCGUGAGUGAUGAAGGUCUUCGGAUCGUAAAACUCUGUUAUUAGGGAAGAACAAAUGUGUAAGUAACUAUGCACGUCUUGACGGUACCUAAUCAGAAAGCCACGGCUAACUACGUG